rnacentral:rRNA from 1 species
UACGUAGGGGGCAAGCGUUGUCCGGAUUUAUUGGGCGUAAAGAGCGUGUAGGCGGCCAAGCAGGUCCGCUGUGAAAACUCGAGGCUCAACCUCGAGACGUCGGUGGAAACCGUUUGGCUAGAGUCCGGAAGAGGAGAGUGGAAUUCCCGGUGUAGCGGUGAAAUGCGCAGAUAUCAGGAGGAACACCGAUGGCGAAGGCAGCUCGCUGGGACGUGACUGACGCUGAGACGCGAAAGCGUGGGGAGCAAACAGG